rnacentral:rRNA from 1 species
CAGCCGUAAACUAUGCGCGUUAGGUGUAUCGGUGACCACGAGUUACCGAGGUGCCGAAGGGAAACCGUGAAACGUGCCGCCUGGGAAGUACGGUCGCAAGGCUGAAACUUAAAGGAAUUGGCGGGGGAGCACCACAACAGGUGGAGCCUGCGGUUUAAUUGGACUCAACGCCGGGAAGCUCACCGGAUAGGACAGCAGAAUGAUUGCCGGGCUGAAGACCCUGCAUGACUAGCUGAGAGGAGGUGCAUGGCGUAGACGUCU